UAUGAGCCCAUGCAGUAAUAAAAUACAUGGCAAUAUUUAUGUAUGAUUUAAUAGAUUAUUUUGUUAAAUAUCAAAAAUCUAAGAGGUGUGCAUUAUAGCUGACACUUACAUGAACACUUUACAGUUGGAUAUUUGACUGUAAGUCCUUCCCAUUCUAAUGCUAUUGAAGUUAGAAACGUGUUUAACAAUGUCGUACGUAACUUUAGAGACGGUCCCUUAAUUUCCGCAUAUCCGCGAAUAUCGAACGUUCAACAUCAAGCCAACUUUAUUCCAGUAUGAACCGUACACAAUAGUGACCCUCUCCAUGGUGCUUAAAAGGGUUAAGAGGCUUUAGGCAUCACGUGACCUGAUCAAGGCCUGGCUGAGUCACUAUUAUCUUUAAUAAGAGAUGGCCAACAGCGCAUGUUAUUUACCUCUCACUGUUGUUGACGAUGACUCCCCCUGCCUCCGAGUGAUUCUGGUUUAAAGUCAUUUUAUCUCCACUGUUUUCUCUUACAUCCACGACAGAUAGUGCGACACAGAUCCUUCCAACAAACUCGGACAAAUAAUCCGGAGUUGAAAA